UUAGGUAGGUUUUCUAAUGUCUAAAAAUUUGGUGAGUUAGAGACAACAUGAUAAUUUGGGCGAAGUUGACACAAGGUAAUGGUAGGGGAACCUGUUGUUGGAUUAC
rnacentral:rRNA from 1 species